GUCGAAGUGGCUCAGGUGGGAAGAGGGAUAGCUAUGGGGAAUAGGGUCCUGGGUUCGAGUCCCCGCUUGGGCA